GCCGCGGUAGCUCAAUUGGUAGAGCAUCGCACGCGUAAUGCAAAGACAUGGGAUCGUUCCCCAUCUGCGGCG